AUGAACGCUAGCUACAGGCUUAACACAUGCAAGUCGAGGGGCAGCAUGGUCUUAGCUUGCUAAGACUGAUGGCGACCGGCGCACGGGUGAGUAACACGUAUCCAACCUGCCGUCUACUCUUGGACAGCCUUCUGAAAGGAAGAUUAAUACAAGAUGGCAUCAUGAGUCCGCAUGUUCACAUGAUUAAAGGUAUUCCGGUAGACGAUGGGGAUGCGUUCCAUUAGAUAGUAGGCGGGGUAACGGCCCACCUAGUCUUCGAUGGAUAGGGGUUCUGAGAGGAAGGUCCCCCACAUUGGAACUGAGACACGGUCCAAACUCCUACGGGAGGCAGCAGUGAGGAAUAUUGGUCAAUGGGCGAGAGCCUGAACCAGCCAAGUAGCGUGAAGGAUGACUGCCCUAUGGGUUGUAAACUUCUUUUAUAAAGGAAUAAAGUCGGGUAUGUAUACCCGUUUGCAUGUACUUUAUGAAUAAGGAUCGGCUAACUCCGUGCCAGCAGCCGCGGUAAUACGGAGGAUCCGAGCGUUAUCCGGAUUUAUUGGGUUUAAAGGGAGCGUAGAUGGAUGUUUAAGUCAGUUGUGAAAGUUUGCGGCUCAACCGUAAAAUUGCAGUUGAUACUGGAUAUCUUGAGUGCAGUUGAGGCAGGCGGAAUUCGUGGUGUAGCGGUGAAAUGCUUAGAUAUCACGAAGAACUCCGAUUGCGAAGGCAGCCUGCUAAGCUGCAACUGACAUUGAGGCUCGAAAGUGUGGGUAUCAAACAGGAUUAGAUACCCUGGUAGUCCACACGGUAAACGAUGAAUACUCGCUGUUUGCGAUAUACUGCAAGCGGCCAAGCGAAAGCGUUAAGUAUUCCACCUGGGGAGUACGCCGGCAACGGUGAAACUCAAAGGAAUUGACGGGGGCCCGCACAAGCGGUGGAGUAUGUGGUUUAAUUCGAAGCAACGCGAAGAACCUUACCAGGCCUUGACAUCCCUUGCAGAGGUAUAGAGAUAUAUCCGAGGUUAUCAAGGAGACAGGUGGUGCAUGGUUGUCGUCAGCUCGUGUCGUGAGAUGUUGGGUUAAGUCCCGCAACGAGCGCAACCCUUGUUGUCAGUUACUAACAGGUUCCGCUGAGGACUCUGACAAGACUGCCAUCGUAAGAUGUGAGGAAGGUGGGGAUGACGUCAAAUCAGCACGGCCCUUACGUCCGGGGCUACACACGUGUUACAAUGGGGGGUACAGAGGGCCGCUACCACGCGAGUGGAUGCCAAUCCCCAAAACCUCUCUCAGUUCGGACUGGAGUCUGCAACCCGACUCCACGAAGCUGGAUUCGCUAGUAAUCGCGCAUCAGCCACGGCGCGGUGAAUACGUUCCCGGGUCUUGUACACACCGCCCGUCAAGCCAUGGAAGCCGGGAGUACCUGAAGCAUGCAACCGCAAGGAGCGUACGAAGGUAAUACCGGUAACUGGGGCU
rnacentral:rRNA from 1 species